rnacentral:tRNA from 1 species
GCCGAGGUGGCGGAAUAGGCAUACGCGUCAGUCUCAAAAACUGAUGUCCGUAAGGAUGUGUGGGUUCGAUUCCCACCCUCGGCA